rnacentral:tRNA from 1 species
GUCAGGGUCAGCUAAAGAAGCUCCCGGGCCCAUACCCCGGAAAUGACGGUUAAACACCAUCUCCUGUCA